UAAAACCAAAUAGUUAAAGAGAAUGAAGCUUUUUCAGUCUUCUUCAAAUUAUAUCUGUACAGGGAAAAUCUGCAGUCAAAUUGCCUGGCUUCACACGUCUCUCUAGACGAAAAAAGGAAAAAUCAGGUGAUCCAUAAAAGCUGAAUAGGAGAGCAAAGGUGUUAAUUAUCCUGAUUUCCAGAAUCAUUAUGUCUGAGAUAUGUGACAUAUGAGAAAGCAACACCAUUUUAGCAACAGUCGUUUUUUGUGCUUAGACACACCUCUUUCUCUAUUUCAGAUGUUUUCAAGGAAAGGACGUUAAAAGCCUGCUUUGCCCUUUUGUAUGUGUGGCUAAUCCUGGAGUCCGAGAAGGGAAAAAGAAAAAAGCCUGAAAAAGACCUGUUUCAUAUUUUAUUCCAUGCACUCUGUUCCUCUAGGAUCUUAGGUAUCUUCAUGUUAGAAGCUCAGAGACUCAGCAACAAUCUUCAGGAACCUUGGUUUUCACAUGUGACCAUGAAAGCAAGUCAAUGAUAGUAAUUUAGGAGAUUGGGAAAAAAUAAUGUGUUGGUGAAUGAUUACUUCGAAAGGUGAGAAUAUAUAUCUUCCUUCUAACUUUUCUAACUUUAUCACGGCUUCUGUUUAUAUGGGUUCAUUUGAAGAAACACAAUUAAAUUA
rnacentral:lncRNA from 1 species